rnacentral:tRNA from 1 species
AGGGGUUUAGCUCAGUUGGUAGAGCAGCGGUCUCCAAAACCGCAGGUCGGGAGUUCGAGGCUCUCAGCCCCUGCCA